rnacentral:lncRNA from 1 species
GGAAAAUAGUAUAGCAAAACUUAGCAAUGACUAACAUAAAAGCAAAAGUACUACUACUGCUUGAAACUUUACUUAAUAAUGCUUAAGAUAACAGCACGGUGUAAAGGUUCCCGAUUUUACCUGGUUGUGCGGCGACUGGUGACUCGAGGUGGUGUGGCGGAAGUGCGUCGGGAGGCUGGUGACGUCAUGCGGUGUUUCUUUUGGAUUAAUUUUGUUUUUAAAGUUUAUAUUGAAAAAUUAUUAAUAUUAUGUUUUAUGCUAAAAAUAAUUCAACAAGUAUUUGGUAAAGUUUGCUGUAAUUGUAAUAGUUUGUGUUAACGAUGAUGAUA